AAAAAAAAAAAAAUUAUUUAUGCCAACUAAAGGAAAAUUUAGCAAAAUGGAUAUAUUAGACAAUGCUGAAUCUGAUUAAUUUGUUGCAAAGUAGAAUCAUGACAACAUGUUAUCGCAAGACUUUUAUGUUCAUUCCUUCUUAUAGACCAAUGUUGGGUACUAUGGACUCCACAAGUUCUUCUUCACAAAAUCCAAGAUUUCCUACUUGUUAAGUUCCCAAUUUUUGAAUGUUUACA
rnacentral:misc_RNA from 1 species